rfam:Clostridium estertheticum subsp. estertheticum strain DSM 8809, complete genome.
AGUAAAAUAAAUGAUAUUCCGUAGAUAGUAGGUGCGAAAGCGUAAAAGACAACAUACCUACCGAGGAUUCCAAUAAAUGUGCUUGUGUACAGAUAUUAGGUCUCUUCGUGUCUACGGAGAGACUUUAAUUUUCUUAUA